AUUAACAGCCAUAUCACCCUGCAGCCCAAGCCUGGUUGCCCACUGAAGCUAAGCAGGGUUGAGCCUGGUCAGUACCUGGAUGGGAGACCUCCUGGGAAAACUAGGUUGCUGCUGGAA
ensembl:rRNA 5S_rRNA 5S ribosomal RNA